UAUCAAGCUACCAAACUACCACUCAAUACAUAAAAAUGCCCCCUACACUACCGAAAGAUCACCCCCACAUCAGAUAUUUACAUUUUAUAAGGAUUUAAAAAAACCUAGAGAAGGCACCCCUUCCUCAUUUUUCUCUAAGUUCCAGCCGCCCAAGCUUCCCUCUUUUCGUCUCUGCCAUUUCGCCGACCACCAGUUGCCGCCGCUGGAGGUGGUGACCAGCCAGGCGGCGACCUCUCCUUCUUCCCCUCGCCUCUCUCUCUCUCCCUCUCAUUUUCUACCGGAAGUGAUGACCGGCGGCUGUCGUUCAACCAUGACAAACCCCACUGCCGUGUUCUUCACUUCCUUUUCCUUGUCUGUUCUAAUGGCUCGUUAAUUUUGCAGGUUUGAAACCCGUCGGGCGAAUCAGAUCUGGCCGGUUUUUAGCUUUCCGCUGAGAAAAUAUUGGAUGAGAUACAUUCGUGGUUGUGAGAUCGUUUUGUUCUUUGCUCUUACUGUUGGCAUGGCUAAUUUGAAGGAUCAACUACAUUAUUGGACAUUAGUCCGAUGAGAAUAAUUUUUUGAGGACACGACGCGCCGUUUGACUCUUUGACUGGGCCCGAAAUAACGGGGCGAUGGUGAUUAACAUCGGGAAAGAAAAAAAGACGAGAACACGAACCGACAAUCUAUGUGAGGCGACACGGUUGGCCAUCGGAGUUGCUACCGAGGCAGUUUCCGUUGGUAUGUCUAGACGAAUAUCGGAUAUUACAUAUAUCUGAGCCUCCUAUAUUAUUUUUAAACCAUUUUUCAAAAACUAUAUUCAAGAACAAUUUUUGCAAAAAAAACAUUUAUAAACAAAAAUCAUUUAAAAAACAUGUCAUUUAA